rnacentral:tRNA from 1 species
UACCCACUACCCGGCUUGAACGGGUUCACCCAGCUCCACAGGCUGGUAUGCUUUCCAAUUACAUCAAAUGGGC